UUGCAUGUUGCUUGCAAAAUGAUUAUCUUCUGAAGGGCUUUUGAAUGUAUUAAACACACUGUCAAUCAUUUUGCACAUUUGAGUUUGCUGAUGUGUCUUUGAGGAGUGAAGUUUUAGACAGAAGUUGUGUGAUUAAAGUUAACACAAAUAAGCUGAAAUUGCUUGCAGCACCUGCCAUAGUUUAAAAGCAACUGACAUGACAUAUGUAAUAUAAAUCGAACUGUUUCUCACUCUUGGUCACAUGGGUUUUGCUCCAGUGGGAUCAUGGCUGUUUGUGUGGGCUGCUGUCACUGUUAAUCACUGAUAAAUGCAUCUGACCCUAAUCUCUCCUGGCUUGAACUGUCUGCCCACACUGCUCCACUUUACACCUCAGCAGAGAAAGAUGGACUUUGUUUUGCGCUGGUCUUACUGGUGGGCUCUGUUAACUCCAGUCCAGGUCAGACAUUGCGCUGUACAUCAUCAGUCAUGUCAUCUAUUUUGAAUGCAUUCAAACCAAGACUGUACAGUCCCACAACUGCAGAUUUGAAAUCGUGAUUCACUUAAAACCCCUCCAACCCUGUUUGGUCCAGUGAUCAGAUUCUGUUUUAGCAGCAGACCAUGUGCAGUACAACCAACAGAAACACAACUUCACAAAUAACACCGAGCCAAACUGGGAAGAACAGUUGCAUGAUUAUGAGUGAAAUGCAGGAUGCAGAAGGGUCUCGGAGCAGAUGGGUGAAGACACUGAGCCAUGGAAGAGAUUCAUGGACUGGUGAUUUACUGCUAGUCAAACCAGCUGUCAGGAGAUUCAUACGGGGUUGACAUUUGAGGAUGGCAGAAGACGGUCAUCCCAGAGAGAGGCUGAGGCUGAAGGACGGCCAGGUGGGAAGUGGAGGGAUUAUCCAUGAGAAAGCACAGCUAACGGGAUUAGGCUUUCUCUGGGAUGGAUGGAGAGGGAGGACCUGGACUUGGACUCCAUUAGCUUCACACAGUCCUUCUUGGAGCUUAGCCUGUAUAGGACCAGAGGGGUCCAAAACAGAGACUGGGACAGAGAAACCCCUCAAACUGUAACCAAUGUAGUGUAAAUAUAAAUUGUGCAGUAUAGAUUGUCCUGGGCUGGUUUGGUUGCCUCACUGAAGAUUUACCUCAAUGCAUUAUUAUUAUAAACAUUUUCAAACCUCUAUAAUGUGAGUGAAUCACUUGCAUAUAU
ensembl:lncRNA